rnacentral:rRNA from 1 species
AAGAACGCUGGCGGCAGGCCUAAGACAUGCAAGUCGUACGCGAACGACCUUUCGGGGUUAAGUAGAGUGGCGAACGGGUUAGUAACGCGUGGGAACAUACACAGCACAGGGGGAUAACCAUUGGAAACGAUGGCUAAUACCGCAUACGCCCUAUUGGGGAAAGAUUUAUCGGUGUUGGAUUGGCCCGCGUUAGAUUAGCUAGUUGGUGGGGUAAUGGCUCACCAAGGCGACGAUUUAUAGCUGGUUUGAGAGGAUGAUCAGCAACACUGGAACUGAGACACGGUCCAGACUCCUACGGGAGGCAGCAGUCGGGAAUAUUGUGCAAUGGGGGCAACCCUGACACAGCCAUGCCGCGUGAGUGAAGAAGGCCUUAGGGUUGUAAAGCUCUUUCAGAUGUGAGGAUGAUGACGAUAGCAUCAGAAGAAGCUCCGGCUAACUUCGUGCCAGCAGCCGCGGUAAUACGAAGGGAGCUAGCGUNGUUCGGAAUUACUGGGCG